rnacentral:rRNA from 1 species
AGUGGCGAACGGGUGAGUAAUACAUCGGAACGUACCUUAUCGUGGGGGAUAACGCAGCGAAACGUUGCUAAUACCGCAUACGCCCUGAGGGGGAAAGCGGGGGAUCGAAAGACCUCGCGCGAUUAGAGCGGCCGAUGCCUGAUUAGCUUGUUGGUGGGGUAAAAGCCCACCAAGGCGACGAUCAGUAGCUGGUCUGAGAGGACGAUCAGCCACACUGGGACUGAGACACGGCCCAGACUCCUACGGGAGGCAGCAGUGGGGGAUUUUGGACAAUGGGGGCAACCCUGAUCCAGCAAUGCCGCGUGAGUGAAGAAGGCCUUCGGGUUGUAAAGCUCUUUUGU